GACGAACGCUGGCGGCGUGCUUAACACAUGCAAGUCGAGCGGUAAGGCCCUUUCGGGGGUACGACGAGCGGCGAACGGGUGAGUAACACGUGGGUGACCUGCCCUCAGCUCUGGGAUAAGCCCGGGAAACUGGGUCUAAUACUGGAUAUGACUCCAUGACGCAUGUUGUGGGGUGGAAAGCCUUGUGCGGCUGAGGAUGGGCCCGCGGCCUAUCAGCUUGUUGGGGGGUGA
rnacentral:rRNA from 1 species